rnacentral:piRNA from 1 species
UGAAAUCUGCGUUUUUUAUUU